GUCAUGACAAUGGCCACUACCCUACUCCACUCUCUACAGUGGAUUUCGCAUGGCUCCACUACUCUCUGACAAGUCAUAACAACGGACACCACUCUACUCUCCGUAGCAAACUCCAUGUGGCCCUGAACGACCCCUGAUGCCACUACUCUCCGUAACAAACUUCGGACGGCUCUGAACAGCCCACUACCAGGCGAUUACAGACAUCGUUGUCAAUUAGUUACAUGCUCCAUCUAUAAAAAGGGACCCCCAGAUACAUUCUUCUCUAAGCUCAAAAACUCUAUCUCAAAACUCUGCUAAAAUUUUCACUCGAGCACUCCAUUUCUGUUGAAGUAGAGUACUGACUUG
rnacentral:lncRNA from 1 species